UACGUAGGGUGCGAGCGUUAAUCGGAAUUACUGGGCGUAAAGCGUGCGCAGGCGGUUUUGUAAGCCAGGUGUGAAAUCCUCGGGCUCAACCUGGGAAUGGCAUUUGGGACUGCAAGGCUGGAGUGUGGCAGAGGAGACUGGAAUUCCUGGUGUAGCAGUGAAAUGCGUAGAUAUCAGGAGGAAUACCGAUGGCGAAGGCAAGUCUCUGGGCUGACACUGACGCUCAUGCACGAAAGCGUGGG
rnacentral:rRNA from 1 species